GGGGAUAUAGUUUAGUGGUAGAAUGCAGGCCUAGCAAGCCUGAAGCCCUAGGCUCAAUCCUAAUUAGUGCUG
rnacentral:tRNA from 1 species